GAGUUUGAUCAUGGCUCAGGAUGAACGCUGGCGGCGUGCUUAACACAUGCAAGUCGAACGAAGCACUUUAUUUGAUUUCCUUCGGGAUUGAUUAUUUUGUGACUGAGUGGCGGACGGGUGAGUAACGCGUGGGUAACCUGCCUUGUACAGGGGGAUAACAGUUGGAAACGGCUGCUAAUACCGCAUAAGCGCACGGCAUCGCAUGAUGCAGUGUGAAAACUCCGGUGGUAUAAGAUGGACCCCGCGUUGGAUUAGCUAGUUGGUGAGGUAACGGCCCACCAAGGCGACGAUCCAUAGCCGACCUGAGAGGGUGACCGGCCACAUUGGGACUGAGACACGGCCCAAACUCCUACGGGAGGCAGCAGUGGGGAAUAUUGCACAAUGGGCGAAAGCCUGAUGCAGCGACGCCGCGUGAGCGAAGAAGUAUUUCGGUAUGUAAAGCUCUAUCAG
rnacentral:rRNA from 1 species